rnacentral:rRNA from 1 species
UACGGAGGGUGCAAACGUUGCUCGGAAUCAUUGGGCGUAAAGCGCACGUAGGCGGCGUGAUAAGUUGGGUGUGAAAGCCCUGGGCUCAACCCAGGAAGUGCAUUCAAAACUGUCACGCUUGAAUCUCGGAGGGGGUCAGAGAAUUCCCGGUGUAGAGGUGAAAUUCGUAGAUAUCGGGAGGAAUACCAGUGGCGAAGGCGCUGACCUGGACGAAGAUUGACGCUGAGGUGCGAAAGCGCGGGGAGCAACAGG